rnacentral:rRNA from 1 species
GCAACGCGAAGAACCUUACCAGGUCUUGACAUCCUCUGCCACUCCUGGAGACAGGACGUUCCCCUUCGGGGGACAGAGUGACAGGUGGUGCAUGGUUGUCGUCAGCUCGUGUCGUGAGAUGUUGGGUUAAGUCCCGCAACGAGCGCAACCCUUGUUCUUAGUUGCCAGCAUUCAGUUGGGCACUCUAAGGAGACUGCCGGUGACAAACCGGAGGAAGGUGGGGAUGACGUCAAAUCAUCAUGCCCCUUAUGACCUGGGCUACACACGUGCUACAAUGGAUAGAACAAAGGGCAGCGAAGCCGCGAGGUGAAGCCAAUCCCAUAAAUCUAUUCUCAGUUCGGAUUGCAGGCUGCAACUCGCCUGCAUGAAGCCGGAAUCGCUAGUAAUCGCGGAUCAGCAUGCCGCGGUGAAUACGUUCCCGGGCCUUGUACACACCGCCCGUCACACCACGAGAGUUUGUAACACCCGAAGUCGGUGGGGUAACCUUUUGGAGCCAGCCGCCUAAGGUGGGA